rnacentral:rRNA from 1 species
CCUACGGGAGGCAGCAGUGAGGACUAUUGGUCAAUGGUCGGGAGCCUGAACCAGCCAAGCCGCGUGAGGGAUGAAGGUACAGAGGAUUGUACACCUCUUUUGUCAGGGAACAAAGGCGGGGACGUGUCCCCGGAUGAGUGUACCUGAAGAAAAAGGAUCGGCUAACCACGUUCCAGCCGCCGCGGUAAUACGGAGGAUGCGAGCGUUAUCCGGAUUUAUUGGGUUUAAGGGGUGCGUAGGCGGUAUGUUAAGUCAGCGGUAAAAGACCGGGGCACAAGCCCGUCGCGCCGUUGAAACUGGCAGUCUCGAGUGGGAGAGAAGUAUGCGGAAUGCGCGGUGUAGCGGUGAAAUGCAUAGAUAUCGCGCAGAACUCCGAUUGCGAAGGCAGCAUGCCGGCGCCACACUGACGCUGAGGCACGAAAGCGUGGGUAUCGAACAGGAUUAGAUACCCGAGUAGUC